rnacentral:rRNA from 1 species
GGAGUUAGGAAAUGUAGACUCGCUAAUAUCGGGUCUAUUUGACAAAGGCUCCAAAGGAAGCCACGGCUAACUCUGUGCCAGCAGCCGCGGUAAUACAGAGGUGGCAAGCGUUGUUCGGAAUUAUUGGGCGUAAAGAGCACGUAGGUGGUCCUGCAAGUCUGUUGUGAAAUCCUUCCGCUUAACGGGAGAACGGCAGCUGAUACUACAGGACUAGAGUACGGGAGGGGAGAGUGGAACUUCUGGU